AUAUUCCUUCACGGAUCUUGCCCUGCACUUUAUCACUAUAUAUAUAUAGUGAUAAAGUGCAGGGCAAGAUCCGUGAAGGAAUUUA